rnacentral:rRNA from 1 species
UACGAAGGGGGCUAGCGUUGUUCGGAAUUACUGGGCGUAAAGCGCGCGUAGGCGGAUUCUUAAGUCAGGGGUGAAAUCCCGGGGCUCAACCCCGGAACAGCCUUUGAUACUGGGGAUCUAGAGGCCGAGAGAGGUGAGUGGAAUUCCGAGUGUAGAGGUGAAAUUCGUAGAUAUUCGGAGGAACACCAGUGGCGAAGGCGGCUCACUGGCUCGGUACUGACGCUGAGGUGCGAAAGCGUGGGGAGCAAAC